CACGUAGGCGGCUUUGUAAGUUAGAGGUGAAAGCCCAGGGCUCAACCCUGGAAUUGCCUUUAAGACUGCAUCGCUUGAACAUCGGAGAGGUAAGUGGAAUUCCGAGUGUAGAGGUGAAAUUCGUAGAUAUUCGGAAGAACACCAGUGGCGAAGGCGACUUACUGGACGAUUGUUGACGCUGAGGUGCGAAAGCGUGGGGAGCAAACA
rnacentral:rRNA from 1 species